UCCUUAAUUUUUUACUUUUAUAAUAGUAAAAUAUUAUUUUAAGAUAGCAACACAAUAUAUAAAAAUCAUCAUAAUUAUUUUUUAAAAAAUAUAUAAGAUUUUUAAUAUAAAAUUUGUUUUAUUAUAUAAUAAAAUAUAUAUAGAAAUUCAUUAAGGAUAACAUAGACUUUAGCCACUCUAAUUUUUAACGUGAGAGCUUUGUUGCGAAAAAAUAUUUCGCAAAAAAUAGUAUAGAUUGAGAUUAGCGUUGACUUAUAAAGACUAGGCAUAAAUUUCAAUUUUUUUAUUAGUUAAUGUAUGUUUUGGCAUGCAAUAAGAGUUGGGUAUGUAUUUUUUAUUGACCCCUAGUUCAGGCAUGAAUUUUAAAUUUUUGAUUAGUAAAGGUAUGUUUUGACAUGCAGUAAAAGUUGGGGUAUGUAUUUUCUCAGCAAUCCAUAAUUUGGGCAUGAAUAAGCCGUUUUCCCGACCUACCACCGAUCAAUGGUUACUAUCAUACUAGAUAGUAACCCGCGCUUGCGCGGGAUAAGAUGUCUAUAUUAAUGUUGAAAUUAUAUAUUAUGAUUAUGUAUAACAUAAUAUAUACUUUAAGCAAUAGUUAGAUAGAACUAAAGGUAUAAUGGGUGCACUAAUAUUAAAAUUUGAUAUAUAGUGUUUGUAUUUGAGAAGAAGUUUUGGAAAAAAAAAUUUUAUAUUUCGCUUAUCACGUUGUAAUAGUUAUGGAUUUAGGGGUUUAACAAAUAAAAUAAAAAGAAUAUAGAUCAAUAACAUAUUAUAAGCAAAAUAAUAACUGUGUGAAUAAAAAAAAUAUAGCUCAUUUAAAUUCAGAAAACAUAGUUGCAUAAUAAAAGAUACUGAAGGUUAUUCGAUCUUCUAAAUUGUAAAGGUUGUUCUGGAUGCAACCAGCACGUGAGACUUGCUGGUGGUUCGUUCCUGAAAGUUUCUUCUCAUCUUCAAGGUCGUCUAAUGCAGAGCUUUCAUGGCGGCGAAGGUGGUGACACUCGCAUGCUUAUAUUGCUUGCUCGAGAAGACUAAUACACUAAACCAAGACGAUUUACAGUGAUUCAAUCUCCUCGAAACAGAUAUCACCUCAUCGAGCAGUAACAAAAUCGAGUACGACACAUUUAUCUAGAAAUAUAUUUUCAACGUCUUCUUUCAGCAAUGAGAGACGGUUCUCAAGAGCGCUGUUAAAUGCAUGAAGGCAUGUAUGGAGAAAAUAGUUAUUUCACUAACACUUGGCAUCAUACUAAAGUUUUAUCGUUUUGUCGUCUCUACGGAUCUGUCGACUUAAUGGCGAUAGAUCAAAUGGGUUACCGUUUUUAACAGAAACAUAUAGAGGAAUAAAGAAGCUUUAUUGAUGCUAUGAUUAUAUUGAGAGGAUUGAUAAAUCAACUAAUCGAAGUUGAAGCUGAAGGUUUAUCACGUAAAAAUGUUCGUCGAGAAAAAUAAAGAUAAAGAUGGUAUGAAGUUUUUUUAAAAGAAUGUUAGUGUGAACGCAUUAAAUUUACAGUUUUGGUGAGAAGCGUUCUCUGCGUGAGACCUCAGCGUUUUACUAAAUAAAAGUUUCUCUUGAAGCCACGUCAGCACGUCACAUUCCUUACCAAUAAACUUUUAUGGUAAGUUUUAAAAGUGCUUCUCCUUUAAUAUAUAGGGGAUUAGAAUAAAAAAAUACAAUCUCAAGAUCUCAGCCGUUAAUAGCCAGUUUAGCGAAUCUGACGGCUAAGGAUCCGUCAACUCCUAAAGCUCGUGAUCCCUACAGCCAGGGCCGGCUCAGUGGGGGGGACAAGCGGUGCGACCGCCCCGGGCCCAAGCCCGUGUCCCCCCGUAUAAUAACAAUUAAGGGGCUCAAUUUUUUUAUAAAUCUAUAUUUUUAUAUAUAAAAAAAUUAUAAAUAUAAUAAAUCAAAAUAAAAAGAGCCCAGAAUUAUUUGAUAUGUAUAUAGUUUUAUUUUCAUUACAAAUAUAUAAAAAAUAUUACAUAUUAAAUUUUAUAUAUAUUUUAAACAUUAUAUGUAUAUAAAUUUUAGAGGGUAAAAUUUUUUUUUUUGCCCUAGGGCCCCUAAGAAUGUUGAGCCGGCCCUGCCUACAGCAUGCACAGUUUCUUUCUCUCGCCGGAAUCAUUGCGAUUUGACAGGAACGCAUGCAAAGGACUAAUCAGGACUUCUAGUGGAUGAAACAACAGUACCCCCAUCUCCUUCAUUUUCAUACUCAAACUGGAUCGAUCUCUAAGACUCUAACGUCAAGAAAUCAACCCAAGAAGCUUACCAAUCAAAGCCCCUUUCACACUGGAUUCUCUCAUCCUCAGCUGAGCCUCAAUGCUCACAGCCUUCCCAGCUUCUAGUCUCCUCUCUCGUCUCUACUUCUCAAACGGCGGCAAAAGCAAAUGGAUCAUCUCUUGGUCGCCGUCGCUGGAUGGCCAAUCACCACUCUAAGGAUGGUGUUGAGCAGAGAUUUCAAGUGAUGGCUCGUGACUGAGGAUAAGAGUUUCAAAGGCGUCGAGUCGAAGUACGUUCAGGUUCUUGUCUGGAGCGCAGUCACGUUUCAGUUGGGUGUUCUUGGAGCGACCGCUGUCUUGUUUCUGGCGUCUACAGUCAUGGCGGGAGGGCUUAAUGCUGUGAGAGUGCCCAUCACGAGCGUAGCUGCUGUUAUAUUAAUGAAUGAUCCCAUGAGUGGCUUCAAGAUUCGGUCUUUGGUUUUGACGUUCUGGGGAUUCAGCUCUUACAUCUAUGGGAGCUCAAGCUCAAGCUCAAGUACUCAAACUUCCUCUGUUUCUAUUCCAUGAAGUAGAAUCUUGGCAUUAGACAUGGCGGACAGGAGAAAUGUGAUGUGAGUCUGCUCCAUGAAUCCUAUCUUUCCUCGCUGUCCACACGCAGUUCGUCUGCCACUCCCGCCAUGUCCAUCUUUUCUCGGUGAAGCUCUCUCCUUUCGAUCAUCUCGACAACUCGGUCCGUCGUGUUGGGUGAGAGUUGUAGCUGUAGCGAUGGCGAUUGCAUCUCCUGAUCAUCUCUUCUACCUGAUUUAGAGAUCACUCAUGAGUGUUGCAUUGCUGCAUGCGUACGCUUACGACUCUGAAUGUGGCGUGGAGGCGUAAGUUAUGUUCCCUCUAAAAUCAAGUCUCUUUGACUUCAGUUCUUGCUAGCUCAUCUUGUUGUCCAUGAGUUUGAGUAGCAUGCUUAGCAGUUCAUGCAAGGAGUCUCUUUGUUUUAUUGUGUUCACGGCUCUUAGAGCAUCAAAAGGAAGUAGCAAGGCCUCGAAGUGGUGAUACUGCACCCUUUCAUUUAGCUGACUUUGAAGAGGAGUGGGGUUGUGGAAGUUGAGCGAUGUUAAGGUUUGGUGGUUAAUAUUAUCCCGUCUAAGGCCGGUUCUUGAUUUUGGAAGAUUAUCCUAGCUUAGACUUGAGGACGGUCUUCGAGCGGGCCUCUAUGUUGUUUCAAAGGAAUUGUCUUCUGCUUCGGGUGAAAGGAUGAAAUGGCUUCUUGGUCGGUUGAUCGUGGAUCCACUUUGUCUUGGGUGUGUGACGUGUGUCCCUUCUUCCAGUAGAUGCUCGAUCUCUCAUUCAGGUGCUUUAAGUUUGUAUCGAUUACUUCUAGUGUCACAAUCAUAAUUCCAGUUGCUGCUUGAUCUCUCACAGUCAUACUCUCAUUAAAACAUGCAUGUAUC